GACGAACGCUGGCGGCGUGCUUAACACAUGCAAGUCGAACGGAAAGGCCCUGCUUUUGUGGUGUGCUCGAGUGGCGAACGGGUGAGUAACACGUGAGUAACCUGCCCUUGACUUUGGGAUAACUGCAGGAAACUGGGGCUAAUACCGGAUAGGAGCUCCUGCUGCAUGGUGGGGGUUUGAGAGUUUCGGCGGUUGGGUAUGGAUUCGCGGGUUAUCAGCGUGGUGGUGGGGUAGUGGCUUACCAAGGCUUUGACGGGUAGCCGGACUGAGAGGGUGACAGGCCACAUUGGGACUGAGAUAAGGCACAGACUCGUAAGGGAGGAAGCAGUGGGGAAGCUUGCACAAUGGGCGGAAGGCUGAUGAAGAAGCGCUGCGGGCGGGAUGACGGUCUUGGGGUUGAAAACCGCUUUCGCCUGUGACGAAGCGUGAGUGAAGGUAACGGGUAAAGAAGCACCGGGUAAAUAAGGGC
rnacentral:rRNA from 1 species